AUUGAACGCUGGCGGCAGGCCUAACACAUGCAAGUCGAACGAGUGGCGGACGGGUGAGUAAUGUCUGGGAAACUGCCUGAUGGAGGGGGAUAACUACUGGAAACGGUAGCUAAUACCGCAUAACAUCAGAUGUGCCCAGAUGGGAUUAGCUUGUUGGUGGGGUAACGGCUCACCAAGGCGACGCUCCCUAGCUGGUCUGAGAGGAUGACCAGCAACACUGGAAAUGAGACACGGUCCAGGCUCCUACAGGAGGCAGCAGUGGGGAAGAUUGCACAAUGGGCGCAAGCCGGAUACAGCCAUGCCGCGUGUAUGGAGAAGGCCUUCAGGUUGAAGAGUACUUUCAGGGGGGAGGCGUUACCCGCAGAAGAGGCACCGGCUAACUCCGUACCAGCAGCCGCGGUAAUUC
rnacentral:rRNA from 1 species